rnacentral:rRNA from 1 species
CAGCCCCUCGAGUGGUGGGGAUGAUUAUUUGGCCUAAAGCGUCCGUAGCCGGCCCUGUAAGUCCCCCGUUAAAUCCAGCGUCUCAAGCGUUGGUCUGCGGGAGAUACUGCAAGGCUAGAGGGUGGGAGAGGUAAGCGGUAUUCUGGGGGUAGGGGCGAAAUCCUUUGAUCCCCGGAGGACCACCAGUGGCGAAGGCUGCUUACUAGAACACGCCUGACGGUCAGGGACGAAAGCUGGGGUAGCGAACCGGAUUAGAUACCCGGGUAGUCCCAGCCGUAAACGAUGCAUGCUAGGUGUUGGGUUGGCCCAUGAGCCCGCCCUCAGUGCCGCAGGGAAGCCGAUAAGCAUGCCGCCUGGGGAGUACGGCCGCAAGGCUG